rnacentral:rRNA from 1 species
AGAGUUUGAUCCUGGCUCAGAACGAACGCUGGCGGCGCGUUUAAAGCAUGCAAGUCGAACGGUAGGGUAGUGCUUGCACUACUUGAGAGUGGCGAACGGGUGAGUAACACGUAGGUGAUCUACCCUGAUGUUGGGGAUAGCCUGUGGAAACAUAGGGUAAUACCCGAUGUGGCUAGUACCUUGCGGGGUAUUAGAGAAAGGUGCUGAGGCACCGCAUUAGGAUGAGCCUGCGUCUGAUUAGUUAGUUGGUGGGGUAAAGGCCUACCAAGGCGACGAUCAGUAGCCGGCCUGAGAGGGUGACCGGCCACACUGGGACUGAGACACGGCCCAGACACCUACGGGUGGCAGC